GUGUUCACUUUGGUAGCACAGAGACUAAAAUUGGAAUGAUACAGAGAAGAUUAGCACAGCCCCUGUGCAGAGAUGACUCACAAAUUCCUGAAGGGUUCCAUAAAAAC
rnacentral:snRNA from 1 species